rnacentral:misc_RNA from 1 species
UAAGUUUAACGGAAAGUAUUGGCACUUGUAAUUUGUGUGAAUUAAAGAGAGAAAAAUCGAAAUUUUAAAAUGGACGACGAUCAGGAACAUCUACUUGAAAACGAUUACUACACGUUUUUAAACAUCCCAAGAGAUGCUACACAGGAGGAGAUCAAUUAUGCGUAUCGUAGACAAAGUAAACUUUAUCAUCCUGACAAACAUGUGGAGCCUGUACUUAAAAAAGAGGCAGAAAUUUUAUUUAAUCGUACUAAAGAAGCAUAUAAAGUUCUAAGUAAUCCCCAUCAAAGGGCUAUUUAUGACUCAGUGGGAGUCAGAGGGCUGCAAAUUGAAGGUUGGGAGAUAGUAGAACGUACUAAAACUCCUCAAGAAAUCAGAGAAGAAUAUGAGUAUCUUGCUAAAGAAGCGGAGGAAAGAAAGUUAUUAAGGCUUACAAAUCCUACUACUAGUGUCACAAUGAAAAUCAAUGCCACAGACCUUUUUAACAAAUAUGAUAAAGACUAUGAAGAUAGCAGGGACAUACUUUCAUGCAUAGAAGUCAGUGGAAUGACAUUUACUCAAUCCAUUGAAGUGCCCCUUACUUUACAAGACAUUGUAACAAUGUAUGGUCAGCUAAGUACAAGAAAUGGUAUAGGUUCUGGAUCUAUAAAUGUAGCAGCAAAACGUCUACUUACAUCAAAAGGUUGGGUAGAACUAGAAGUUGGUGCUGGAAAUGGACCUAUGAUAUCGUUAAAAGGUUUUCGUUUAUUAUACCAUAAAUUGAUGUUCAACGGGGCAACAAUACUGGAAUUUACGCCUGCUGAUAUUAAAACUAGUCUUAUAGGCACACUUACAAUGCAAUUAGACACUCAUACAAUAGGAGAAUUCACGUACAAUGCAGGUCCAGAAAGUUCCAUGAGUACUGGAAUUGUCAGGGACACAGAUAGGACACAUAUAUCAUUUUCCGUACAUCUUGGUAUCCUACGGUCAUUCAUUAGUUUUAAUUACACAUAUAAAAUGUAUGAGAAAGAAAUGAAAUUACGAGGAAGUGUGAAAGCUGGCACAUUUGGGUUAUUUGUGGAGUACGGAGCGGAAAAGAAGAUUUCGCGACAUACUAGGCUAUCUGCAGCUGUGUCUGCAGGAGUGCCAACAGGAGUUACAUUAAAAAUUAAAUUGAACCGUUCCUUUCAAACCUACUCAUUUCCUAUACAUCUCAGUGAUGAAGUUCUUCCAGCUACUGUGUUCUAUGCCACCAUGAUCCCUCUGAUGACAUGGGUUGUGUUAAAAAAAGUUGUGAUAGAUCCCAUGGUAAAAAAACGACAAGAACGUGAAAAAGAGAAAGAGAAGGAGGUAAACAAGACGAGAAUGAUGGAAAAACAAAAGGAGGCGGAAAGUGCUACAAAAUUAAUGAAAGCAACCAUCAGUAUAAUUCAGAGCAGCAACACAUACGUAGGGAUGAAGUAAUAGAUGUAACCAUUCCUUUACAAUGUUUAGUAAAGGAUUCGAAAUUGAUCCUUUAUGAUGCAUCGAAGAGUGAACUACCAGGAUUCUAUGAUCCAUGUGUAGGAGAAGAGAAACAAUUAUUAAUACAAU